rnacentral:lncRNA from 1 species
AUUCCUCCCACUGUUCUCCAGCCAGCCCUCUGCAUUCAGGGACCAGAGGAGUCCAGACCUAACUCCUGAGGCAGUCUUCUGACUGUCAGGCUUUUGUCCUGGGGUUGGAGCAGCACUUUGAACUUGGUAGGCUGGUAGCGUGCCAAGGUUCAGUCAAGGAAAUCAAGUGAGUUUUAUGGGAUGGGAACAGCAAAGGAAAAUGCAGAAGUGCCUUGCUUUUAGACCCAAGUUGGGAGGGGACUAGGCCAGCAGCUCUGAGAUGAUUUGCUGUGGGAAUGGAAGGCAGAAGCCGUAAAGAGCACCUUUCUUGGCUGUUAACAGGAUAUCUGGGGAGUGGCAAAACAGCGGGUUGGCUUGGUAUCUUAAUAAAGACCCGACAAUGUGGUGUUUUUCAUGGAAAAUCUGGGCCAAGUGCUGUCAGCAGGCUGAAGACCCAGGCAUAAAUAAUCUGGGGACUUGCUCUAAGUCUAGACCUUUGAGGCGCUGUUGCUUUACAAGUACGGGUAAUACAUACAAAGCCUUCGGUGAGCCAUAGAGAGUUCCUUCCCAUUCUGUGGUGUUGCACUCAGGAGAGAUGGCUCAAGAAUGCUUAAGGCAGAGUGUUCCACAUUUUUAUUACCUGGUAUUUAUAAUACUGCAUGGGAUGAAGUGUUUACUCAUGAUGGUUCUUUAGAAUAACUUGUAGUGCUGUUCAGUGGCUGCAGGUGACUGUGUCUGAUUAAAACUUGAGAAUCUGUUCCUAGUGAGCAUAAUCUAUAUCAAGUUGGAUACUUACCUUAAACUACCACUUUCUCUGACUCCCGUAGCAGCUGUAGAUGUAUUGUGUCCCAUGGUGGCUCUCAGGUGACUUGACUGGCGUGUGACUGUUCAAUUUCUCUCUGUACAGGACAACUUCAGUGGCCUGCCGGUGGGGACCUACCAGCCUUUUACUAACAUUCAUCCGCCGCCAAUUCCAGCAAACCCACCAACAUACGAAUCUAUUGAUGAGCCUAACGCUGACAAGGAUGCUUCUUCUGCGCCAGUGGCUGGGCCUGGACCCAAGUCAGAACCUUCUCCAAAACCAAGAGCUGGACCUCCUAAUACCAUUGAUAACUCUGUGUUGCCUGAGUUACCUUCCGUGCCGGACACACUGCCAACAGCAUCUGCUGGCACCAAUUCUUCUGCCUCUGAAGACAUUGACUUUGAUGAUCUUUCUCGGAGAUUUGAGGAGCUAAAGAAGAAAACCUAAGACUGAGUGGGCUCUAACUCCUGUGAGAAGGGCAGGAGCUGUGAUUAACUUCUCUCUAAAACACUCCCUCCUGAAAUCGGUUUCCUGUAUUAACCUCAAACGAACACUCCUCUUUUUGAGCUCUCUUCCUGCUGUACUUAAACCAAACGCUGCAGCUUUCUCAAUCGUUGCUCCAGGAGUUGAACUGCGGGGAGCCUUGUGAGACUGAAGCAGGGAACAGUUUGCACCAGUCCGGGUAGCUAUAGAGGAAACCCGUGUUGGACGUUGUGGCUGCCGUUCCUGGCUGGCCGCAGCAGCUGUGCUGCCUUCCCCAGAGAGGGGUGAUGAAGGUUGAAAUUAUAACCGGGCGUCCUGUGUGUGUGUGUGUGGGCUCAAGGGCAGCGUCAGCCACCAGGCACCCUGCACCGCCUUAUGGUGCGUGUGGACAGGGGGAUUGUCUUCUUUUUUUUUUUUAAGUCCCUUGGGUAAGAUUUAAGUACUGGGGGCCGAGGCAGGCAGCAGCCUUGCGAGGAGCGCUGCUCUUACCCUGCAGCACCUGUGCCCGGGGGGGCUUUG